CUGCCUAGGACAACCUCCAGGGGAAGAACCCUCUGUCCCCAGGCCUGCAGCUCAGUGCGCGUGACACACACGGCCCACUUCAGGCUGACAUCUUUGGUGCUGCUGCCGUUCAGACUGGGAGGGGACGUCCCCUGCCACCGGAAGGCUGUCCCUCCACACCUGCCCGCUAGGCGGCUCUGUCUUUCCCUCCCUCUAUUCCUCCCAAGUCCACUUCCGCCCUCCAAGAGUGCAGAGAAGAGUCGACCCCACUGCCCAGACCCACGGGUGUCGGAGACCAGAGGAGAACGGAGGCCUAAUUUGCUUCCGCAGUGAGCUUGAAGGGGAAAGGCUGCACUCGGGGGGUGGGGGUGGCGCACCGCAGGUUCUAGGGAAAACUGAAGGCAGCUGAGGCUAAGCUGAGGCGACCUGAGCACGUAGUAAUGGCUCCAGGAGAGCAGGGGAAUCUUGUGUUACUUUGAUUGCUUGUGCCCACGUUUGGGUGAAUAAAGGCAAGGUGAGCCAGACGUUAGGGCCUCCUCCGCCUACUAGAGGCAGGGGCCCCCUGGCUGCUGGCACCCCGGGUCAGGGAGGACGGAGUGGCGGCCCUCGGGCCCCCACAAGGCGUGCCAGGUGGGGAAAGCUGGAGGAGCGAGCUGGCUCUCCAUGGACGGCGCCUGGGGCAGGAAGGACCUGAGGCCUCGGGCGGAGGCCAGCCAGGAUCCAGCCAAGGAUCAUAUGUCCCAUUCAGCUGCCACGUUUCCUGGUCUCCUUCACCUUCACAGUGCUGGCCCUUUUCAGCAAUCCCAGGCACCUGCUCUGGCUGUUUGCUCUUUAACAGAUCCAGUUAGACGCCGGUCAUCCCUUCCUGGUACACAGAUGAUUCAUUCGACGAUCACUCCCCAAUCUGUAACUCUAGCUCCAAUGAUGAUCUCGUCACCACUUCUGAAGUCCUCCCAGCACCCUGCCUGUACGGCAGUGUCCCCUGCCAGCCUCAACAAACAUCUGCUUGCUCCAGUAUCUCCCAGUCUCCCCUGCAGGUGGAUAGAAGCCAUGAGCCUGGGCUGUGGCCAAUGGGGUGUGAGUGACAGAGUGACUUCCAGGUCCUAUCCUUACAAAACUUCCUAGGAUUCUCGGCUCCUGUCAUGUGACCCUAGUGCCACAUGUUCUAGAUGGCAAAGUUAUAGAAAGGAGGAGGUCACCGGACUCUUCAUUGCAGUGAACUUUGAAUGAGGGAAGUGAUGUUCCUUGGGGCAUACAGAGACUUGGGAUCAUCUGUUGCUGCACUGCAUCCUGGCCUGUGCUGACCAACACCACCAGGACAUCAUAUGAUAACUCAGCAGCUGUGGUCAAGGUUGCAUCUGGCACCUUCUCUUCAGAUGUGUUCCCUUCCUGGCCUCACUGUCCCCAAACACCUCAAGGUCUCCAGACUGCUCCUUCCUUCUCACACUGCACCACUGGGGUUCCAGGUCCUCCCCUCCACCUGCCUCCACUCCUGGACCAACACUCUGGCUUCCAAGGUGGUCUCUCCCUCCAGCCUUUAGAAGCUGCCAGAACUUUCUGGAACACAACUUUGACUGUGUCAUUCCUUUUCUUGAAAAUCCUAGGAGGUUCUCCUCCAGCUUGGAAUAAAGUACAAACACUUCAA